GCGUGAGUGAAGAAGUAAUUCGUUAUGUAAAGCUCUAUCAGCAGGGAAGAUAGUGACGGUACCUGACUAAGAAGCUCCGGCUAAAUACGUGCCAGCAGCCGCGGUAAUACGUAUGGAGCAAGCGUUAUCCGGAUUUACUGGGUGUAAAGGGAGCGUAGACGGUUUUGCAAGUCUGAAGUGAAAGCCCGGGGCUUAACCCCGGGACUGCUUUGGAAACUGUAGGACUAGAGUGCAGGAGAGGUAAGUGGAAUUCCUAGUGCAGCGGUGAAAUGCGUAGAUAUUAGGAGGAACACCAGUGGCGAAGGCGGCUUACUGGACUGUAACUGACGUUGAGGCUCGAAAGCGUGAGGAGCAAACAGGAUUAGAUACCCUGGUAGUCCACGUCGUAAACGAUGAUUACUAGGUGUUGGUGGG
rnacentral:rRNA from 1 species